AGAGGCGCAGGCAACCUCAAAUAAAGCAAGAGCCAGAGUCAGAGGAAGAAGAAGAAGAAAAGCAAGAAAAAGAAGAAAAACGAGAGGAGCCUGUGGAAGAGGAAGAAGAACCAGAGCAAAAGCCUUGUCUCAAACCCACCUUGAGACCCAUCAGCUCCGCUCCAUCUGUGUCCUCUGCCAGCGGCAAUGCAACACCUAACACUCCCGGGGACGAGUCUCCUUGUGGUAUUAUUAUUCCUCAUGAAAACUCACCAGAUCAACAGCAGCCUGAGGAACAUAGGCCAAAAAUAGGACUAAGUCUUAAAUUGGGUGCUUCCAAUAGUCCUGGCCAACCUAAUUCAGUGAAGAGAAAGAAACUACCUGUAGAUAGUGUCUUUAACAAAUUUGAGGAUGAAGACAGUGAUGAUGUGCCCCGAAAAAGGAAACUGGUUCCCCUGGAUUAUGGCGAAGAUGAUAAAAAUGCCGCCAAAGGCACUGUAAACACUGAAGAAAAGCGCAAACACAUUAAGAGUCUCAUUGAGAAAAUUCCCACAGCCAAGCCUGAGCUCUUUGCUUAUCCUUUGGAUUGGUCUAUUGUGGAUUCUAUACUGAUGGAACGCAGAAUCCGGCCAUGGAUCAAUAAGAAAAUCAUAGAAUACAUAGGUGAAGAAGAAGCUACUUUAGUUGAUUUUGUUUGUUCUAAGGUUAUGGCACAUAGUUCACCACAGAGCAUUUUAGAUGAUGUUGCCAUGGUACUAGAUGAAGAAGCAGAAGUUUUUAUAGUCAAAAUGUGGCGAUUAUUGAUAUAUGAAACAGAAGCCAAGAAAAUUGGUCUUGUGAAGUAAACUUUUUACACUCAGAGUUACAUUUCAGAUUUCUUCUUUCACACCCUUCAAAGGACUUGGAAUUUUCUGUGUCUUCAAAGACAUUUGUGAGAUCUGUAAUUUUUUUAAUGUAGAAAAUGUGAAUUCUUUUGUCCUCUAAUUUGUUGAUGCUGUGUACUCACUUGGUUGUAAAGCCAUCUGUGUCCUUGGUUCUCUUUAUACACCAGGCACAGAUUACUGGUGUGUUUUGUAAGCUGCAGCUACUGUACACAGCCUAUUUGAUAGAAUCUUGUUCUGCUGAUUCGUUCCCUGUAAAUAUUAAAAUGGCUCCCCAAUUCUUUUGCAGAAUUCUACUUAAUAUUAAAACUGUAUUGUAUAGGCGCCAACAUGAAUAAGUUGAAUACUAGUCACACCCAUUACAGUCUCAUCCCCACGUCCCUCAUCAGAAAUGACAAGCAAGCUCUUGUAAAGGCAUGGAGUUUAAAAUUAGAUUGCAAAACCUAGCAGACAGUUCAUUCCUAAUGUAUCUCUGUAUUAAUGUGUUUAUGUGAAUGUAUGUAUAAAAGUCUUUUUUAAAAUU
rnacentral:lncRNA from 1 species